rnacentral:rRNA from 1 species
AACACGUGGGUGAUCUGCCCUGCACUUUGGGAUAAGCCUGGGAAACUGGGUCUAAUACCGAAUAUGACCAUGGACUUCACGGUUUGUGGUGGAAAGCUUUUGCGGUGUGGGAUGGGCCCGCGGCCUAUCAGCUUGUUGGUGGGGUAAUGGCCUACCAAGGCGACGACGGGUAGCCGGCCUGAGAGGGUGACCGGCCACACUGGGACUGAGAUACGGCCCAGACUCCUACGGGAGGCAGCAGUGGGGAAUAUUGCACAAUGGGCGCAAGCCUGAUGCAGCGACGCCGCGUGAGGGAUGACGGCCUUCGGGUUGUAAACCUCUUUCAGUAGGGACGAAGCGCAAGUGACGGUACCUAUAGAAGAAGGACCGGCCAACUACGUGCCAGCAGCCGCGGUAAUACGUAGGGUCCGAGCGUUGUCCGGAAUUACUGGGCGUAAAGAGCUCGUAGGUGGUUUGUCGCGUUGUUCGUGAAAACUCACAGCUCAACUGUGGGCGUGCGGGCGAUACGGGCAGACUAGAGUACUGCAGGGGAGACUGGAAUUCCUGGUGUAGCGGUGGAAUGCGCAGAUAUCAGGAGGAACACCGGUGGCGAAGGCGGGUCUCUGGGCAGUAACUGACGCUGAGGAGCGAAAGCGUGGGGAGCGAACAGGAUUAGAUACCCUGGUAGUCCACGCCGUAAACGGUGGGUACU